AAAGGCGCAGCGCUGAUAAAAGCGAACGGAACAGCAGCUUUGCUUGACGGGCCUGUGCGAAGCGCCAGUUGUGACUUCUGGGACUCGGUUCGAAGGAGGCAGUGGCUCGCGCAUUUCACGGGAACUCUCUCAGCAAGGCUUCAAUAAUCAUCUGAGGCUCUGAGAGGCUAUUCACCAUCCACAGUAGGAGAGAACAAGUUCUCACUUUCCUUCAUUCAGUUAAUUCUUCGUUUUUCUCAUCCUCGUCCACUAUUUUCUGACUAAAGUUUCUGGAGAGCUCGAAAGAUUUACCUCUUUUUGAAAGAAUUUUGGUUGGUCCUAUUUGUAACACUGCUUACACUACUAUUGUUUUUUUAAAUCUUUCUAUGAGCCAGCAUCGCUACCUAUCUUCCCUCUUUUACACUUUCCUUUACAUCAAUGAUUCUUACAACUGAAAAACGAACCAGAGUUACCAACCUGUGUUGCUUGUUUGUCAGUCUGGCACCUUCUGUGUGCUUGGUGCCUUAUUACCAUGACCGGUCCUUUGCCCCAGGAUUUUGCAAUCUAAAUUUCGAUGGAGGAGGAGACAACAGAGGUGAAGGAUCUGGGAAUGCUUUGAAGAGAGUCGCCUUUAUUGUCAUGAAAAAGUUGUGGCUUCUCACCCCAUGUAUACACAGCAAAACAGGCAUGUGAUGGAUUCACACAAUUUAGAGCUUUCAUCUGAAACAGCCCUGAAGCUGAGGGUGCAACCAUUCAACCAACAUAAUGAGUAUACCACACAACAGAAUAAUUUGUUUAUUCUGAAGCUAUGGAACCCAAGAAUUACACUACAAGGUGUACAAAUUAAUAUCUCUAUAGUCAGUGCAUUCAAAUUUGAUGUAUAUACAGUGAAUUCAAUAAAUACAUAAGAACUA